AGGUGCUGUUUCCCAGCUGGGAGGCCUUGUUCUCGGGCUCCGAGGGCCAGCUGAAGCCCGGCGCCCGCAUCUUCUCCUUUGACGGCAGAGAUGUCCUCCAGCAUCCCGCCUGGCCCCAGAAGAGCGUGUGGCACGGCUCAGACCCCAGCGGGCGCCGGCUGACCGAGAGCUACUGCGAGACGUGGCGGACGGACACCAGGGCGGCCACGGGCCAGGCCUCCUCGCUGCUGGCGGGCCGGCUGCUGGAGCAGAAAGCCGCUGGGUGCCACAACGCCUUCAUCGUCCUCUGCAUCGAGAACAGCUUCAUGACCUCCUCCUCCAAGUAGGGCCUCUGUGGGCACCAUGGACAGGUGGACUGACGAACAGAGUGCCAGAGAGGAGCCAGGCGCCAGGCAGGAGCGAAUGCCCCCAGCCUGGGCAGAGAGCCUCUGCCGGCACCCCAGGGAGGGGACCUGGCUGGGACACUUGCCUGUAUGGUUCACGUUUCAUGUAAUCCUCAAGAAAUAAAAGGAAGCCAAAGAGUGUAUUUUUUAAAAAGUUUAAAA